rnacentral:rRNA from 1 species
AUUGAACGCUGGCGGCAGGCCUAACACAUGCAAGUCGAACGGUAACAGGAAGAAGCUUGCUUCUUUGCUGACGAGUGGCGGACGGGUGAGUAAUGUCUGGGAAACUGCCUGAUGGAGGGGGAUAACUACUGGAAACGGUAGCUAAUACCGCAUAACGUCGCAAGACCAAAGAGGGGGACCUUCGGGCCUCUUGCCAUCGGAUGUGCCCAGAUGGGAUUAGCUAGUAGGUGGGGUAACGGCUCACCUAGGCGACGAUCCCUAGCUGGUCUGAGAGGAUGACAAGCCACCCUGAACCUGAGACACGGUCAAGACUCUACGGGAGGCAGCAGUGGGGAAUAUUGCACAAUGGGCGCAAGCCUGAUGCAGCCAUGCCGCGUGUAUGAAGAAGGCCUUCGGGUUGUAAAGUACUUUCAGCGGGGAGGAAGGGAGUAAAGUUAAUACCUUUGCUCAUUGACGUUACCCGCAGAAGAAGCACCGGCUAACUCCGUG